AAAACCAAAGAUUGUCUUUACAUUCCAAUUUUAAGGAACUUAAUUCCGUCACUAUAGUAGAGAUGGAUAAAUGUUUUGUUUGACAAAACAUUGUUCUUUAUUAAUCAAUGAUUGGAUUAUAGUAAUCUAAUUGAUUGUCUCUAUAGUAGAGAUGAUAUGGUAGUGUUAACUGUUUAGAAUAAAAUGAUGCUUAAAACCCAAAAGGUUGCAAGGUAGUGACUAAUCCCAACUAAAGUUGUGAUACCUCUAAAACAUACGUUAUGAGUUGGUGAAAGAUGGAUGCUUUGGAUUGUUAGAUCCGGAUCCAAUACCUUCUUAUUAAAAUUGUAUAGAGGCGAAAUGUUCGAAUCUUUAUUCGUUUGGAAAGAAGAAAGAAUCACAAAGUUGUUGAGGUUAAUUCACUUAGAUGUUAGUGGCACUUGUCCACAAACAUAAUACUACUCAUGUUGUAUGACAUUCACCGAAGAUCACUCUCGGUUGGACUAGAAUAAACACAAGUCCGAAUACUUUGCAAAAGUUUUCAAAGAAUUCAAGAAAUGUAAGUUG
rnacentral:lncRNA from 1 species